AUUGAACGCUAGCGGGAUGCUUUACACAUGCAAGUCGAACGAGUGGCGGACGGGUGAGUAAUCUAUCGGAAAGUGCCCAGUAGUGGGGGAUAACUACUCGAAAGAGUGGCUAAUAACGCAUACUAUUGGAGCGGCCGCAAUCGGAUUAGCUAGCUGGGGGGGUAAAGGCGCACCAAGGCAACGAGCCGUAGCUGGUUUGAGAGGACGACCAACCACACUGGGACUGAGACACGGCCCCGACUCCGACGGGAGGCAGCAGUGGGGAAUUUUGGACAAUGGGGGAACCCCUGAUCCAGCCAUCCCGCGUGUAUGAGAAGGCCUUCGGGUUGUAAAGUACUUUUGGCAGAGAAGCGGUAUCUGCAGAAUAAGCACCGGCUAACUACGUGCCAGCAGCCGCGGUAAUAC
rnacentral:rRNA from 1 species